rnacentral:rRNA from 1 species
CGGACCUUGUGCAAUUGGAUGAGCCUGCGUUAGAUUAGCUAGUUGGUGGGGUAAAGGCCUACCAAGGCGACGAUCUAUAGCUGGUCUGAGAGGAUGAUCAGCCACAUCGGGACUGAGACACGGCCCGGACUCCUACGGGAGGCAGCAGUGGGGAAUAUUGGACAAUGGGCGCAAGCCUGAUCCAGCAAUGCCGCGUGUGUGAAGAAGGCCUUCGGGUUGUAAAGCACUUUCAAUUGUGAAGAAGGGGUUCGUGUUAAUAGCACGGAUCUUUGACGUUAACUUUAGAAGAAGCACCGGCUAACUCCGUGCCAGCAGCCGCGGUAAUACGGAGGGUGCAAGCGUUAAUCGGAAUUACUGGGCGUAAAGCGCGCGUAGGCGGUUGUUUAAGUCAGAUGUGAAAGCCCCGGGCUCAACCUGGGAAUGGCCUCUGAUACUGGAUAGCUAGAGUUUGGGAGAGGGGAGUAGAAUUUCAGGUGUAGCGGUGAAAUGCAUAGUUAUCUGAAGGAAUACCAGUGGCGAAGGCGACUCCCUGGCCUAAAACUGACGCUGAGGUGCG